rnacentral:rRNA from 1 species
UACGGAGGGUGCAAGCGUUAUCCGGAUUCACUGGGUUUAAAGGGUGCGUAGGUGGGCAGGUAAGUCAGUGGUGAAAUCUCCGGGCUUAACCCGGAAACUGCCAUUGAUACUAUCAGUCUUGAAUACCGUGGAGGUAAGCGGAAUAUGUCAUGUAGCGGUGAAAUGCUUAGAUAUGACAUAGAACACCAAUUGCGAAGGCAGCUUACUACCCGAAUAUUGACACUGAGGCACGAAAGCGUGGGGAGU